AUUGAACGCUGGCGGCAUGCCUUACACAUGCAAGUCGAACGGCAGCACGGGAGCAAUCCUGGUGGCGAGUGGCGAACGGGUGAGUAAUAUAUCGGAACGUGCCCAGUAGUGGGGGAUAACUGCUCGAAAGAGCAGCUAAUACCGCAUACGACCUGAGGGUGAAAGGGGGGGAUCGCAAGACCUCUCGCUAUUGGAGCGGCCGAUAUCAGAUUAGCUAGUCGGUGGGGUAAAGGCCUACCAAGGCAACGAUCUGUAGUUGGUCUGAGAGGACGACCAGCCACACUGGGACUGAGACACGGCCCAGACUCCUACGGGAGGCAGCAGUGGGGAAUUUUGACAAUGGGCGCAAGCCUGAUCCAGCAAUGCCGCGUGCAGGAAGAAGGCCUUCGGGUUGUAAACUGCUUUUGUCAGGGAAGAAAUCCUCUAGGUUAAUACCCUUGAGGGGAUGACGGUACCUGAAGAAUAAGCACCGGCUAACUACGUGCCAGCCGCCGCCGUAAAAC
rnacentral:rRNA from 1 species